rnacentral:rRNA from 1 species
GCUGGCGGCGCGCCUAACACAUGCAAGUCGAACGAGCGAGAGAGAGCUUGCUUUCUCGAGCGAGUGGCGAACGGGUGAGUAACGCGUGAGGAACCUGCCUCAAAGAGGGGGACAACAGUUGGAAACGACUGCUAAUACCGCAUAAGCCCACGGUGCCGCAUGGCACAGAGGGAAAAGGAGCAAUCCGCUUUGAGAUGGCCUCGCGUCCGAUUAGCUAGUUGGUGAGGUAACGGCCCACCAAGGCGACGAUCGGUAGCCGGACUGAGAGGUUGAACGGCCACAUUGGGACUGAGACACGGCCCAGACUCCUACGGGAGGCAGCAGUGGGGAAUAUUGCACAAUGGGGGAAACCCUGAUGCAGCGACGCCGCGUGGAGGAAGAAGGUCUUCGGAUUGUAAACUCCUGUUGUUGGGGAAGAUAAUGACGGUACCCAACAAGGAAGUGACGGCUAACUACGUGCCAGCAGCCGCGGUAAAACGUAGGUCACAAGCGUUGUCCGGAAUUACUGGGUGUAAAGGGAGCGCAGGCGGGAAGACAAGUUGGAAGUGAAAUCUAUGGGCUCAACCCAUAAACUGCUUUCAAAACUGUUUUUCUUGAGUAGUGCAGAGGUAGGCGGAAUUCCCGGUGUAGCGGUGGAAUGCGUAGAUAUCGGGAGGAACACCAGUGGC